rnacentral:misc_RNA from 1 species
AGCUGAACUUGUCAUCUGUGA